GACGAACGCUGGCGGCGUGCUUAACACAUGCAAGUCGAACGAUGAAGGAGAGCUUGCUCUCCGGAUUAGUGGCGAACGGGUGAGUAACACGUGACUAACCUGCCCCUUUCUCUGGGAUAACGCUCCGAAAGGAGUGCUAAUACCGGAUACGAACUCUGAACACAUGUUCGGAGUUGGAAAGUUUUUCGGAAAGGGAUGGAGUCGCGGCCUAUCAGCUUGUUGGUGAGGUAACGGCUCACCAAGGCGACGACGGGUAGCCGGCCUGAGAGGGCGACCGGACACACUGGGACUGGGACACGGCCCAGACUCCUACGGGGGGCAGCGGGGGGGAAUAUUGCAAAAGGGGCGAAAGCCUGAUGCAGCGACGCCGCGUGGGGGAGGAAGGUCUUCGGAUUGUAAACCUCUUUCAGUAGGGACGAAGCGAAAGUGACGGUACCUAAAGAAGAAGCACCGGCUAACUACGUGCCAGCCGCCGCGGUAA
rnacentral:rRNA from 1 species